AAGCCUUGAUUUACGAGAUUCCUGUAACAUCCUAGGAAGACCUACUGGGCCGGGUUAUGGCUGAGGUGGAUGCUGAAGGACCAGCAUCCAAAACACGUACGGAGGUGUCCUACCUGUAAUGACGUCGUACUUGUAAGUGGACAAGCAGCAAGGCGCAGAGGGCAACUGUAGAUAGGUUGUGGUGGUCGAUUGUUUGACCUCAAC